rnacentral:lncRNA from 10 species
UCUUCUGCUUCACCCCAUGCUCGGUCCCUGAGCCAGUUCUGUCAUUGGUUCUUUCAGACCAGGGCAGGAAAAGUCAAGAAAGCAAAAGCGGAUUCUAGGCUGUGGGGUUUGCUGUUUGCUAGCCCCCUGGCAGAGAUGCCUGUCCUUGCAGUCCUGAACUGGUGGCCAAGUGUGCAUGCAUGCACGUGCAGGUGUGUGCAUGUGCAGGUGUGCAUGCGUGUAUGUGCGCACACACAUUCAUGCUUGUACAUGUUUGUGUACACGCACACUUUUUUCUGCUUUCAAUUUCAAGCUGUUGCCUCCCUGAUGUGUCUGUUUAGUGACUUGAGCCAGAAAGAUUCCCGGUUCUAUGUGGGAUGAGAAUGAACGCAGGCAGGUCUCCACAGAAGUGAGUAAAGUAGAGCUGAGAAGAAGGACAUUGUCUCAUGCCAGCCUGUCCAAUAGCCACUUUGCCCCAGCCCUGCCUCAAGCCCCAGAGAGAUGACAAGGCUCUCUCUGUUUGUCGACUCCUUGAAGCUCAGAAAGGUGGGUCAAGAGGUGCCCGUCAAGCGUUUAGGCAAGCACAGGACCCUGAUCUUUACUAAGUCUCCACAUCUCUCUUGCACAGCCCUGGGCUCAGGGCUUGGUCCCCUCUGGGCAGGCCAUCCAGACUAAGUGACAGUCAGAUUGUGUGUGGGGAGGCUAGAGACAUCCAUUCUUCAUGGAUCAGCCUGAAUGGCUGGACAGAUCUUGCAAAUGGAUUGUGUAAGACAGAGUGUGGAAGAGGAGGCUGUGAUCAGUGGCUUGGAGAGCAGAGUGUGGUCAGGCGCUAAACCUAAGGCUUUUCUGGGAAGAGCUGUUAAGAUUAGACUGUUCUCCCAAAAAGCCAAUAAUUCUGAGUGUCUCCAUUAAUGCCUAGGUAGCCCAUACUCUCACCCAGCCGGUGCCCUUCAGCCUGGAACCUUUGGAUGGAGGAUUGGACCUUGUGACCUUCAAGUUCCCUUCCGAACCAAAUAUGCUCUAACCCAGGAGAUGGUGCUGUUGCCCAGGAAGCCGGUCACCAUGACGAGAGUACCCGCUCAGAUGAGGAUGCAGGCGGAGGCGGUGAAGGUGCUGGAGGCCAGGAUGCUGAGGUAGCUGCUCCUCUCCACCAGGGUCCAGAUGCCCAUGGCCAGGACAGCUGCCCCCCUGACCUGCAGGAGACCACCAGGUUGGAGCAGGGGGUGGCGGGGGCCUCAGGAGCUGCCAUUCCUUGAGUGCCCGCUGGGUACCAGGCACUUCUCGUGCAUUGUCUUAUUCAAUUUAGGCCUCCUAAGAGCCUGUGAGAACAGUGUGGUGGCCUAGCUUUACAGAUGAGGAAACGGAGGCUGAGAGAGGUUUGCAGGCUUGUCCAAGGUCACACAUGUAAGCGAGCUGCAGAUUUUGAAUCUGGGUCUGACUUCUGAUUCUGUGCAUCUUACUAUGGUUCCUACUGCAUAUGAGGCGGGGAGAAAUGACUUCAGUUUUGGGGAUGACUAAUAUACCUGAGUCCCUUCGCCUCCCCUCCCCUCAGAGCGCUCCCUCCCUCUGUCCACGUUUCCCUGAUGGAUGUGGAGGUGCCAUUUUGAGCACCUCCCCUUGUUCAAUCCUUAUAUUUGCCCAUUGGGGAAGCACGGCUGGGCCCCUUAUCCCUCCCUGUUCUACAGAGGAAGGAACUGAGGCCCAUGGAGGAGAGGUAAAUGGCCCGAGUUAGGGGCAGGGCCAGGACCAGGACUCAGAGCCCAGGGCCUGCUUGCUCAGUCUCGCUGCCUCCAUGAUGGAAGGGCCACUGUGCUGGACAAGUUGGAGCUCCCUGGGACCACAGGAGGAGGGAGGAGAGCCUUCUUUGCUGUCUGACUCCCUUUCAGUCCUGAGAGGGGGCAGGGACGGGACACUGCUGAUUUGCAGGUCUGGGGGAUGCCUUCUUGGAAAUAGAGUACCUGGGAAAUGUAGCUGGGGUGGUGGGGCUUGACUGUUCUUUCCUGCCAUGAAGCUGAGGAGCCUUUUAGUGACUGUUAUCCUCAGCAGAGCAUAGUGGGUGGGUGCAAGUGUCCUCAAGGUGCCAGAUGGGGGCUGUUUGGAGUGUUUUCCCAGGAUUUGGGUCCUCUGGGACCUCUGACCAUCUCUGUCAUUUGCUCCUGGGAAGGUGGACUUCUGUCUCCCAGUCUCUCUGCCCGCCAUUUAGGGACGGGUCCAUUUCCUCUGAUGGUCAGUAGAUGCUUCCUCAAGGGGUCUUGGGUGUAGCCAAAGCUAGAGAAGCCCUCCCGGGCUCUGUUCACAUCCCCUGAUGCUUUUCCCUGCAAGUUGUCUCCCGUCUGCCCCAGGAAGACUCUCUGUAUAACCUAACCUGUCACUUCCCAGUUCUCUGUUCCGGGGAGUCGCAGACCUUGGCUGAGUAAAUGGAAGGUGGUUCUUAGCAAUGAACAGGCACCUACAUUACUCAACUCGCAAGUAUUUUACCAUUUUGCCAUUUUCUCUUCUGAGCUUUGCAACAGCUCUGUGAGGAUGGGGCCGGGCAGGAGGGGCCAGGCUAUCCCUGUCUUGCAGAUAAGAAAAUUGAGGCUUGGAGAGAAUAAGAAUGUGCCCAAGAUGACACCAUCAGAGGGUCAGAAUUGAGGUGCAAACCCAGUUAUUUGAGGGCAAAUCCAGGCCUCUGUCCUUGGAUCCCCCAGAGUAGGCUGGGCCUGCUUCUCUCUUACUUCUACGUUUUUAAUAGACAUGAUUUCUUCAAAGUGCCAUUUUAUCUCCAUAGGUACCUCCAGACACCACCCAGGCUGCAGCAAAUGGAAUGGGAGAGGCUAACACACCAUAAUUUUUCAAUUCCAUGAUGCCCAUUUUUUCUCACAUUUUAACGUCUCUAAAAUUGGGGCACAUCUUAUGAUUGAUGGCAUCUUACAAUUACACUUGGCAGUACUUUUUCUUGGUGAUACAAAAAAACAACAGUGUAUCUUACAACUGAUAGCUUAGAUUCAGUGAAAUCCUAGAAUACAACAGGUUUGAAAAUUCU